rnacentral:rRNA from 1 species
AUGCUCUUCCUAAAGAUUAAGCCAUGCAUGCCCCGAAUACGAGGAAGCAAUUGUCUCCGAAUCUGCGAACGGCUCCGCAAAACAGUCGCAAACCAAGGCGAGCCUAUGCGCCCUCCCUCCGGGGGGGGCGCUUAUAUGGAUAACCGUGGUAAUUCUGAGGCUAAUACAUGACACAACACCAGCCGCCCGGCUUGCCCCUCGGGGCGGUCGCGGUGGCGGGGAGCGUGCGACAAAAGGCUGGGGUACAUCGGGAUUGGACGCACGUUCAGACCACCGCUUCAAGGGCCUUGUGGGAGCGGGUCGGGGUUCACCCCCCUUCCCGCAACUGCUUGGCCUGGUGGCUCCCGCAAUGUACCUCUGACCUAUCAACUAGACGGCAGCAGAGGGGACAUGCCACGGUCGCAACGGGUACAGAGGAUUAGGGUUCGAUCCUGGAGAGUGGGCCUGAGAGAUUGCUCAUACUUCUAAGGAAGGCAGCAGGCGCGCAACGUUCCCAAUGGGCAAUGCCCGAGG